rnacentral:rRNA from 1 species
GACGAACCGUGCAAACGUUGUUCGGAUUCACUGGGCUUAAAGGGCGCGUAGGCGGUGCGGUAAGUCACCUGUGAAAUCUCCGGGCUUAACUCGGAGCCUGCAGGCGAAACUACCGUGCUGGAGUAUGGGAGAGGUGCGUGGAAUUCCUGGUGUAGCGGUGAAAUGCGUAGAUAUCAGGAGGAACACCUGUGGUGUAGACAGCUUGCUGGACCAUUUCUGA